UUCUGCUGUCAAGAUUUGCUCCGAUGGAAUAUGGGUAUAAAUAUCCCUCUGAUCUGAGACCGCCACGAUGACUUGCAAGCAACUCACUGCACUUAGGCACUGGACUACCUGAAUUUUUAAUUCAGUGACGGAAGGUUGCUGGGUGUAGUCAAGUACUUGACUUGUCGGUGCGUGUGUCAAGAUGGGAUUGACCACUCCAGUUUAGGAGCUGUGUACAAUCAUAUUUCAAUUUAGCAAAAUCUUGGCCAGGGUAGUCCUUGUGAGGAGUCACAGGACUGUUUGAGUUGAGCACGAUUCGGAUGAUCUAAUCAGGGUUGACAGUUUAACCCUGAGUCAUCCUAAACAUAGAGGUCAAAAAGAUGAAUUAUACAGUAACCAUAUUCACGUAGGUUCUGAGUGUUGCGAUUGUGACCAUUCGACCUAUCCGAUCGUCGGAUACCAUUGCUAGAUGGUCACUUCGAUUAGUACAG
rnacentral:lncRNA from 1 species